GAAACUAACUAGGAUUCCCUCAGUAGCUGCGAGCGAACAGGGAUGAGCCCAGCACCGAAUCCCGCGGCCGAUAUCGGGCGCCGGGAAAUGUGGUGUUCGGGAGGGUCCAUUAUCCCGAGAUCAUGCGACGAGUCAAAGUCCUUCUUGAACGGGGCCACAGCCCAUAGAGGGUGCCAGGCCCGUAGGGACCGUCGCCGAUAGCGGGAGGAUCUCUCCUUAGAGUCGGGUUGCUUGAGAGUGCAGCCCUAAGUGGGUGGUAAACUCCAUCUAAGGCUAAAUAUGACCACGAGACCGAUAGCGAACAAGUACCGUGAGGGAAAGUUGAAAAGCACUUUGAAGAGAGAGUUCAAGAGUACGUGAAACCGUUUAGGGGUAAACCUGAGAAACCCGAAAGGUCGAAGGGAGAAAUUCAAUCGCGUUUCGCGGCAGGCGUCGGACGGUGCAGUGCGACGGGGACGGGCGCGUCAGCGUCGCGUACCCGCGCCCGCCGUUCGUGCGAUCCGGCUGCGAACGCGUGCACUUUUCUCCUGGUAGGACGUCGCGAUCCGUCGGGCGCCGGCCUAAGGCUGACGGUGGAGCCCGUCCGUGCGAUUUCGGUCGUCGCGGACGGACCCGUCUAGAUUCCCGGCCGGCACGCUCGACGGUAUACGAAAGGUUCAGGGCCGCUCGAUAUAAGGAGCGUUCGGCUCGCGGCAAGCGCGCCAGUUGUUUGACGGCGAUCGGACCCGGUCCGAUUCCGUCCUCUGGUGACUGUUGGCCGCGCUGUUCUCGGACAGACUCUCGAACCGAUCGGCGACGCUAUAGCUUUGGGUACUUUCAGGACCCGUCUUGAAACACGGACCAAGGAGUCUAGCAUGUGCGCGAGUCAUUGGGAUUCACUAAACCUAAAGGCGCAAUGAAAGUAAAUGAGGGGGGUCUCCCUCGCGGAGAUCCCUCCAGGGAAGACGGGUGUGCGUCGCCGUAGUGCACGUCGCUCAGCAUUCCCGGGGCGUCUCGUUCUCAUUGCGAGAAGAGGCGCACCAAGAGCGUACACGCUGGGACCCGAAAGAUGGUGAACUAUGCCUGGUCAGGACGAAGUCAGGGGAAACCCUGAUGGAGGUCCGUAGCGAUUCUGACGUGCAAAUCGAUCGUCGGAACUGGGUAUAGGGGCGAAAGACUAAUCGAACCAUCUAGUAGCUGGUUCCCUCCGAAGUUUCCCUCAGGAUAGCUGGCGCUCGUCGUAUACGACGAGUCUCAUCCGGUAAAGCGAAUGAUUAGAGGCAUUGGGGUCGAAACGACCUCAACCUAUUCUCAAACUUUAAAUGGGUGAGAUCUCCGGCUUGCUCGAAUCGAUGAAGCCGCGAGAUCGGAUCAGAGUGCCAAGUGGGCCAUUUUUGGUAAGCAGAACUGGCGCUGUGGGAUGAACCAAACGUCGAGUUAAAGCGCCAAAAUCGACGCUUAUGGGAUACCAUGAAAGGCGUUGGUAACUUAAGACAGCAGGACGGUGGCCAUGGAAGUCGGAAUCCGCCAAGGAGUGUGUAACAACUCACCUGCCGAAGUUACUAGCCCUGAAAAUGGAUGGCGCUGAAGCGUCGUGCUUAUACUCGACCGUCAGCGGCAUGUGCGAUCGCGAUCGUUCGGAGUCGCGUAAAAACGACGACGACGACACGUUCAUGAAGCCCUGACGAGUAGGAGGGUCGCGGCGGUGCGCGCAGAAAGGCUGGCCGUGAGGCCGUCUGGAGCCGCCGUCGGUGCAGAUCUUGGUGGUAGUAGCAAAUACUCCAGCGAGGCCCUGGAGGACUGACGUGGAGAAGGGUUUCGUGUGAGCAGCCGUUGCACACGAGUCAGUCGAUCCUAAGCCCUAAGCGAGAGCCGAUGUCGAUGUGGUGUAGUUUAAAUAAUUAUUUAUAUGUGUAUGUGAAAA
rnacentral:rRNA from 1 species